rnacentral:rRNA from 1 species
UACGGGGGGAGCAAGCGUUGUUCGGAUUUACUGGGCGUAAGGGGCGCGUAGGCGGUCAGCACAAGUCAGUUGUGAAAUCUCCGGGCUUAACUCGGAAAGGUCAACUGAUACUGUGCGACUAGAGUGCGGAAGGGGCAACUGGAAUUCUCGGUGUAGCGGUGAAAUGCGUAGAUAUCGAGAGGAACACCUGCGGCGAAGGCGGGUUGCUGGGCCGACACUGACGCUGAGGCGCGAAAGCUAGGGGAGCAAACGGG